rnacentral:lncRNA from 1 species
UGACCUCAACGCACAUUGCUCAAGUUUGAUCAGUUACUUCGAUUCGUUCUCAUUAAGACUUCUUCGUUGUCAGGAUGAUGCGAUUAGAGCCUAAAGGUGCUAAGGCGGAUCCUGAAGCGGAAAAGAAGGAGGCGAAACGCCAGGUGCUAUCAAGCAUACAGCAGUUUGUCUUGGUUGUAGCAGUUGUUAGAGCAGCACCAUGGAUCAUAGAACAGCUGAGUGGAUGAACGGGUAAAUGAAGAACACAGAGGCAAGACAACAUGAUGAAUUUGUAAAUAUGGACUACAGAGGGCAGCAGAUGUACUACAGGUGGCUCUACACGGAUUGACCUAGGAACGGAAAUAUGAGCCAAAACUGAUGGACAGCACAAUGAACGAUAGUCCUACAGUGAUACGAACAGGGUUCAUACAGGUCCCGGAAAACUGGGAGGACCCUAAAUUUUUUAAAUGACAUUGUCUAGAUUAUGAUAAAGAUCUGGUCUUCAAAUGCCUGAUUAUGUGCAGCCCAGUGGGUGUGUUUGUCUGCCGCUCAGUAAACACCAACCUCUUGGUAAUCAUUGGUCCUUACAGUGUAACUGUAGCAAUUGAUAUACGUGUUUCCGUUUGUUUAGUGUAAUAAAAUAUACAUGUGUAUAAAGAAUC